CAUCGCAAGUGGCAACUUUUAAUUUUUCUAUUAUAAUAACUCCACAACAUCUUCAAUUCUUCCUCAUUAAAAUAAAAAUAUAUGCCCACAAUCCAUUGCUAAGACAGUGGUUAAGAUUCAAUUGCAUGGACUAGGCAUGCACUAAAUUUAAAAAUAGUUCUACUCUUCGUAUGCAAAGCAAAGGUAAAAGUACAACUACAGACACUCAACACUGGUAAUUAUGGGACUCAAAAAUUAAUUCUCCCAAGUUAUUAAACUGCCUUAGGCCUGAUCUCAAUCCCCUGAACGAUGAGUCCACUCUUUUUCAUCGUUUACUUCCAUGGCACUCAUCUCUAGUACUUCACCAUCAUUUCCACACCGGUUGAAAUAUUCACCCAACUCAAUUUCUAGCCACCCAUCACUUCUCCUAUACGGACGCCGCAUACUUAGCAUGUGACUCCGCCUACGACUCCGCCUAACGGACUGCUGCUGUACUAAUUCUUUCACCUCCAGAUAUGCCAACUGAAACCUCUGUUGGAUGAAAGAUAAAACCUGUUGCAUCUGUCCGCAUCUUAAAUACUAGAUAAGCUACAUAGUAUGCAAGUGGGGAUAGCAUGGAAGUAUCAAUCUUGCCUCGAAUUUCAAGCAACCACACGAACUUAAGCUCAGCCACCUCUGUGAAUCUGGAGUAUGGUACAAUUUUCCACAUCCAACACUGAGGAUUACCACCCCAUGCAAUCAUGAGACCUCUUGCAGCAAGCAUAUAACAUUUCUUGCCAGUACUCUUGUCCAAAGAAAAGCUCUAUUAAGGGGCAUUUGCAUUGUCAAGGCAAUUAAUUAAAUGGAUAAUAAGAAAACAAUACACAUAUAACUAUUCUAGUUUCUUGAUUAGUCCAUAACCAUAGAGAUCAAGCCACUUCAACUCCACUUGGAUUCUGCAUAUGUUGAAAUCAAAGUUAUCCCCUCAUUCAUUACAAUCAAUUCAAUUAAUUUCUGUUUACUUCUUAUAGUUUCCCCAUUCUAUUUACAACUUUUAGUUUUUUUAGAAUUUUGGAAAAAUUUUCGAAGCCAUAUGGAUAUAUUUAUUGACGGACUCUUUAAGGGAUUUUUUUGACGCAUGACAUAUAUAUCGUGACCAGCAAUCACAGGACUUGUUAGCUCUGCAUUAUCAACAUUCAACAAUGUUCAGAUCCAAUAACAAAUAAAGAAUUAGAGUGCAUUCUACUGUGAACAGGAGAUUGGAUCGACUAUAUACCUUCUUGGCAUCAUCCAUAAGGACUGGAUUAUUGCACAAACUGAAAAAAGAGCUCUUUCUUUGAAGAGAAUGAUAGAAAUGAGAUGAUUUCAUCAAAAUCCGAAGGCAACAAUUUCUCCCAGAGUCAGAAUUGGCGGCUGAUCGGAAUGUUUUAGAAACCAGAGCCAAUCUGCAAGCGUCGAGAGGAGUCGUGAACGAUAGUAUGUUGGCUAUGCAUCCCUGUGGCAAGUCCUCCAAGUCAACUCCUGCAACUUCUCCUUUCCUUGACUUCGGCUUUAUCUUCUCGCUUGCUAGAUUUUCUAUGGGCCUAUGCCACAAUAUGAGGUUUUGUACAUCAAAGCCUCGAAGGAAA
rnacentral:misc_RNA from 1 species